rnacentral:rRNA from 1 species
UACGGAGGGCGCGAGCGUUGUCCGGAAUCACUGGGCGUAAAGGGCGCGUAGGCGGCCUGGCAAGUCGAUGGUGAAAGCCCGUGGCUCAACUGCGGGUCGGCCAUCGAUACUGCGAGGCUCGAGUCGACUAGAGGCAGAUGGAAUUCCGGGUGUAGCGGUGGAAUGCGUAGAGAUCCGGAAGAACACCGGUGGCGAAGGCGGUCUGCUGGGGUCGCACUGACGCUGAGGCGCGACAGCGUGGGGAGCAAACAGG